rnacentral:tRNA from 1 species
GCCCGGGUGGCUGAUAUUGGUUCAAAGCGCCGGCCUUAUAAACCGGUUCACAGCACUCGCUAGAUAAGCGAGCUGAUGCGGGUUCGAUUCCCGCCCCGGGCACCA